AUUGGGCGUAAAGGGCUCGCAGGCGGAUUCUUAAGUCUGAUGUGAAAUCCCCCGGCUCAACUGGGGAGGUGGCCUUGGAUACUGGGUAUCUUGAGUGUGGAAGAGGAGAGUGGAAUUCCAAGUGUAGAGGUGAAAUGCGUAGAUAUGCGGAGGAACACCAGUGGCGAAGGCGACUCUCUGGUCUGUUACUGACGCUGAGGAGCGAAAGCGUGGGGAGCGAACAGGAUUAGAUACCCUGGUAGUCCACGCCGUAAACGAUGAAUGCUAA
rnacentral:rRNA from 1 species